rnacentral:rRNA from 1 species
CCCCACUAUGCUUAGCCCUAAACUCAGAUGUAAAGACAUACAAAUAGCAUCCGCCAGGGUACUACAAGCGCUAGCUUAAAACCCAAAGGACUUGACGGUGUCUCAGACCCGCCUAGAGGAGCCUGUUCUAGAACCGAUAAUCCCCGUUAAACCUCACCAUCCCUUGUUUUCCCCGCCUAUAUACCGCCGUCGCAAGCUUACCCUGUGAAGGGCCUUCAGUAAGCAAAAUGGGUAGACCCCAAAACGUCAGGUCGAGGUGUAGCUCACGAGAUGGGAAGAAAUGGGCUACAUUUUCUAUAACAGAAUAUCACGAACGGCACCAUGAAACUUAGUGCCUGAAGGUGGAUUUAGCAGNAAAAAAACAAACAGAGCGUGUUUUUUGAAUCAGGCUCUG